GACGAACGCUGGCGGCGUGCCUAAUACAUGCAAGUCGAGCGAUGAAGCUUGGUGCUUGCUCCAAUUUUGAGAGCAGCGAACGGGUGAGUAACGCGUGGGGAAUCUGCCUUUGAGCGGGGGACAACUUUUGGAAACGAAUGCUAAUACCGCAUAACAACUUUAAACAUAAGUUUUAAGUUUGAAAGAUGCAAUUGCAUCACUCAACGAUGAUCCCGCGUUGUAUUAGCUAGUUGGUUAGGUAAAGGCUCACCAAGGCGAAGGAACUUAACGGACCGGAGAGGGGGAACGGCCACAUUGGAAUGGGACACGGGCCAAGACUCUUAGGGGGGGAGCCGGAGGGAAACAUUCCGAAAUGGGGGAAGUCUGAACGAGGCAAGCCGGGGGGGUGAAGAAAGGUGUCGGGUCGUAAAAACCUGUUGGUAGGGAAGAAAGUUGGUGGUAAUGGAAAGCGCAUAAAGUGACGGUAACUAACCAGAAAGGCACGGCUAACUACGUG
rnacentral:rRNA from 1 species